rnacentral:ncRNA from 1 species
GUUUAAUUAAAACAAUGCAUUUCAAUGGUCCCUGUGGAUGCUGACACAAUGUGAUUUAUGGCCAAUGCUCUACAUGUCAAAGUGAAGAAAUUCAACCAAUUGUGGGUAAAAUUUGGGAAUAACUAUGUCUCUCUUAAUGUAGCCAUAUGCCUCAUCAUCUAAUUAGUGAUGUGCAUGAAUGGAUUAAUGAGAUUCCCACUAUCCCUAUAUACUA